AGGGCCUCUGGGAGACGUGAUGCAUCAGGGUCCGGCGUGUGAUGAUGGCAGUUGCCUGGCUUGCUCCGCCGUGCCUGAGCCUCUGGCAGGUGGUAGUGUGCUCUGCAAAGGCAGAGUGGGUGUUGAACCUCCAGGAGACCUGAUGUGAUGGCUGUAGUUGGCAGUGAAUUGUGUGAUGAGGGCAGUUGCCUGGUUUGCUCUACCAUGCCUGAAUCUUUAGCAAGAAUGUGCUCUGCAAAGGCAGUGGGGAUGUUGAGCCUCUUGGAGACUGGAUGUGAUCGUUAUGGCUGGCAGUGAUCAAUUGUGUGAUGAGGGCAGUUGCCUGGUUUGCUCCACUGUAUGUGCCCCUCUGGCAGGGGAGAACGGUUGAGAUUUGUCGGAAGUUGUCCUGGGACCUGCUGUGAUUUCAGUGUACUAAUAGAAAGCUGUCUUCUGGUAAUGAUGUCCCUCUCCAUGCUGCUGCCUGGGAUCCCUUGUCCAAGCUACAGCAUUCACAUCACCCUGCAACAGCUCUGGUCUUCUCUCAGAGCUAGCAGGAGUAAUAAAUUGGUGUCCUGCCAACUUACAGAUGGGAGGGUGUUACAUUUUUCUUUCCCUUGGUAUGAGGCAUUUAACUAAUGGAUUCUGGAACUUGCUGCAUGUUGAAUGUAAUUGGAUGCUUUUGUCUGCAAGGGCUGCACUCACCACCUGACAGCUAAUGUUAUCCUACCACAAUCAUUAAAAGUAAGGAAGCCGCUCCUUAGAGAGGAAUUGUCAAGUAUGGGAGGAUGGCCGCCUGUGUAAAGAGGGGGGAAUUCAAGUCUUGGCUCUCCCCUGUCAUCCAGAAAGCUUCAGUAAUGUAUCAUUGGCAGCCUGUAAAGUGGGGAAGGGGCAUCUUGGAUGCUGUAGCGCAGUGUGCAUUUCUGUACUCUUUAGAGCCUAUUUUCAAUAAAAUCUGAGUACUGGGUGAAUUCAG